AAAGAAUAUUUGACUAGCUUAUUUCUAAACCUAAAAUCUUUCUCCCUUUCAUUUCUCUCUCUACUCUCACCUUUUCUCUUGGCCCUCUUUCCUUUCUCCACGCAGCUCUUUCACUUCUUCUCACACACAGAUCCAAGUUCCUUCUUCUUCGUGGAUCCAACUUCUUCUUCUAUCCGGUGCAUUCCUUCCUUCUUUUUCCUGUUGUUGUUGCUGCACUUUUUGUUGAAGGAUAUGUCCAGAAGAAGUCACUAACAACCUCAUAUUUCUCCACACGUCUACUUCAAUGAAUGUAGUUGUCAUAAUCCAAUAUCAUCAUCAACUGCACUUCAGUUCCAGAUCCUCUUAUUUUCUUUAA